rnacentral:misc_RNA from 1 species
GAACGCACAUUGCGCUUUCCGGUAUUCCGGUAAGCAUGCCUGUUUGAGAAUCGAUAAUCACUCACCGUGUCUUUUUAGAAUUGGAUGACAUUGGUUUUCGGACCAAUGUUUGACAAGACUUGGGCACAGUGGAUUUGGGACAUUUGCUUUUGCAGCAACGUCCUUAAAACUAAUGUUUGACCAUUUGUUCGCUGAUGUGAUCGAGGUUAAUGAGUGCAUGAAUAGGAUAACUCCUUUUAAAUGAUUUCACUUUGUACCUGGAUCUUGAUUCAGCCUUGUGGGCAACUCCAGUUUAAUACUCAGGGAGAGUUCCGUUUGGAACUAGUUCUGAAAACUUGGUCUCAAAUCAGGUAGGAAAACCCGCUGAACUUAAG